GAACGCUUUGCGGGAUUUCGGUCGCGCAAGGAGUGGCGCACGAGUGAGUAGCGCGUGGGAACCUGCCCUGUUGUGGGGGAUAACCGAGGGAAACUUCGGCUAAUACCGCAUGAGCCCCCGGAUCAAAAGUCCGGGGGGAAAGAUUGAUCGCGACAGGAGGGGCCCGCGUCGGAUUAGGUAGUUGGUGGGGUAACGGCCUACCAAGCCUUUGAUCCGUAGCUGGUCUGAGAGGAUGAUCAGCCACACUGGGACUGAGACACGGCCCAGACUCCUACGGGAGGCAGCAGUGGGGAAUAUUGGACAAUGGGGGCAACCCUGAUCCAGCAAUGCCGCGUGAGUGAUGAAGGCCUUCGGGUUGUAAAGCUCUUUCGCCCGCGACGAUGAUGACGGUAGCGGGAGAAGAAGCCCCGGCUAACUUCGUGCCAGCAGCCGCGGUAAUAC
rnacentral:rRNA from 1 species